GGGUCGGUAGCUCAGUGGCAGAGCAAAGGGCAGCACCCCGGGCCGCGUAAGCGGGCUGUAUCCCUGGUCGGAGGUUCGAAUCCUCCCCGAUCCA
rnacentral:tRNA from 1 species